rnacentral:rRNA from 1 species
AACGAACGCUGGCGGCAGGCUUAACACAUGCAAGUCGAACGGAUCCUUCGGGAUUAGUGGCAGACGGGUGAGUAAUGCAUGGGAAUCUACCAUUCUCUACGGAAUAACUCAGGGAAACUUGUGUUAAUACCGUAUACGUCCUUAGGGAGAAAGAUUUAUCGGAGAAUGAUGAGCCCAUGUUGGAUUAGCUAGUUGGUGAGGUAAAGGCUCACCAAGGCGACGAUCCAUAGCUGGUCUGAGAGGAUGAUCAGCCACACUGGGACUGAGACACGGCCCAGACUCCUACGGGAGGCAGCAGUGGGGAAUAUUGGACAAUGGGCGCAAGCCUGAUCCAGCCAUGCCGCGUGAGUGAUGAAGGCCCUAGGGUUGUAAAGCUCUUUCACCGGUGAAGAUAAUGACGGUAACCGGAGAAGAAGCCCCGGCUAACUUCGUGCCAGCCGCCGCAGUAACAC